rnacentral:rRNA from 1 species
GAUGAACGCUGGCGGCGUGCCUAAUACAUGCAAGUCGAGCGAACGGACGAGAAGCUUGCUUCUGUGAUGUUAGCGGCGGACGGGUGAGUAACACGUGGAUAACCUACCUAUAAGACUGGGAUAACUUCGGGAAACCGUAGCUAAUACCGGAUAAUAUUUUGAACCGCAUGGUUCAAAAGUGAAAGACGGUCUUGCUGUCACUUAUAGAUGGAUCCGCGCUGCAUUAGCUAGUUGGUAAGGUAACGGCUUACCAAGGCAACGAUGCAUAGCCGACCUGAGAGGGUGAUCGGCCACACUGGAACUGAGACACGGUCCAGACUCCUACGGGAGGCAGCAGUAGGGAAUCUUCCGCAAUGGGCGAAAGCCUGACGGAGCAACGCCGCGUGAGUGAUGAAGGUCUUCGGAUCGUAAAACUCUGUUAUUAGGGAAGAACAUAUGUGUAAGUAACUGUGCACAUCUUGACGGUACCUAAUCAGAAAGCCACGGCUAACUACGUG